AGUCGAGCGGAGCUUAUCCUUCGGGGUAAGCUUAGCGGCGGACGGGUGAGUAACACGUAGGCAACCUACCCUCUAGACUGGGAUAACUACCGGAAACGGUAGCUAAUACCGGAUAAUUCCUUCACCCUCAUGGGCGAGGGAUGAAAGGCGGAGCAAUCUGCUACUAGAGGAUGGGCCUGCGGCGCAUUAGCUAGUUGGUGGGGUAACGGCCUACCAAGGCGACGAUGCGUAGCCGACCUGAGAGGGUGAACGGCCACACUGGGACUGAGACACGGCCCAGACUCCUACGGGAGGCAGCAGU
rnacentral:rRNA from 3 species